ensembl:lncRNA
ACUGUGUUCUCAUCUCAUGAAAAUGCCAGUAGUAUAUUUAAUAGGAAGAGUAUCAGAAGCUAUGAAUUAUCUGCAGUCCACCUAUGGAGAGAAAUAAGUUUCGACAGGUGAAUGUGUUGUCAGGUGCCUUUUAAAGCAAGAAGAGUGGCUGUCUAUCAGGAACAUAACCAUUUCUGGGCUAAAGCUGCUGCAUAAGAGAUGACAAAUGGCACAGGAGAUGAAGUGUAUUUCAAGCUACAAAGUAAAAAGAGGCCCCUUCCUCAGCUGGUGGGAAUAAAUUUAAUGAUGAGAUUGAUUUAUGCCACCUGUGGAGGUAUAGCAUUGUGAGAGAAGAGUGGCAGCAGAGACAACAGCCCAUCAGUAGCCUGGUCUUGUGGAAUAAAAGAUUUUAGAAUGAUGUGGGAGCUGAAGCUAAAUGUUGCAGAAUUGUUCAGUAAAACACAGACUUGGGCACAAAUUCCAACUGUGCUGACCACAUCCACCAGCUGCAGAGACACACAAAGAGACAGUACAAGCACAAUAUAUGGAAAAAAAUCCGAGUGAUGGAAAUAUAAGCUGCUCCAAGUGAAUGUUUAUGCGUCAGUGCUGUGCAGAACAGUUUUAGACAGCUCUAGUGGCCAAAGCUGUGGAAGGAGCCUAAUCCCACUGGAACCAGUCUGUGCAGGGACUCCUCAGAUACUUCUAUAUCCCCAGUGAUUCAGCUGUUCAGCGCCAGCCAAGACAUUUCUGCACACAGAUCAAUAAGAUAUAGUGCAGUGCAGAUGUUCUUUGCUCUAAGAAACUUGGCAAGACUGUGUAGAGUAGAUUUUAGUGGUCUGAAAUGUCUGAACAAAAAGAUCAUCUCUUGCUUCAUCAGUACCACAGACUUGUGAAGAGUUUCCGAUUUUACAGAUUGUAAAUCUGUAUCCAGUUCCCUCCAUGCUUCAGCACUGAAGCUGUGAUCAUUACAAUUGCUGAUUAUCACUGAUGCAUAUUGCAUGAAACUAUUCACCAAUUGGUAAACCUAAAGAGUCCUUUGCCUUUCACUCCAGAAAGGCUGUGAAAUAUGGAAGAAAGUUUCUCCAAGUAAUUUAUCCUUAAAUAGCUUGUCACUGCAGUGCAGAACAUGUGAGUCUAAGGAGAAUUUUUGUGUGUCUGUGAUGGUGUGAUACACAACAAUCCCAGUGGACCAUAACUUCAUUUACACCCUCGAAUGUGCUAGACAACCUUCCCAAAUCUGGGAGAUUCUGGCACUGAGCUUUCUACCUGUGCCUUGUCUCAGCUCUUCUGGAGGGUGUUUUUUUUUUGUUUUUUUUUUUUUUUUUUUUUUUUUUUUUUUUUUUUGUUUUUUUAAUCUUCUUCUAUCUUAACAGCUAGAAAGGGAGUAAUUUCCAAGGGAACACUUGUUCCUACCAAGCAGUCUAAGUGACAUCUGCAAGCAUGACAUGCAGACACAGCAGUUCCUGUUUCCUGCAGAAUCUGAGCACUCACAUCUAAUUGCAGCCGAGGUUGACUGAGGACAUUCAAAAGAGAAGAGAGUAUUUUGCAUUGUAAGGCUGUUGGAUUUUUCUUUUAUUUAUGUGGCAUCUCUCAAAAAACCUUCUGUGUGACACUUGGAAGCAACCCACAGGGAAACAAUGCGGGAUGCAAGAAUAUGUUUUUAUAUGUACACAUAUACAUAUAUAUAUAUAUGCACACACAUAUAUAAUAGAAAGCACAAUUCAGCAUAGCAAGGAUAAGAUGUGUAAAGACAUGGGGCUGAGAAGAUAUAAAUGAUCAUUCCUGAGGCUGUAGUUCACACGUUAAUAAUCCUGGUGUACCCUUAGAUCUGAGGCUAACAGACUAACUGUGCAUCUUGGGUGUUUUUGGGUGGGGAGUGUUAUGUGCCUAGGGAUGAUCGAGUAUCUGGAAUGAUUUGCAAAUCAGCUCUUUAUGAUGUGUGCAGGAUAGUAAUGCCUCUGAGUACUAGCGACUCAAAAAUGCAGAGCAGCGAACAAAGCGAUCUAAAAUGCCAGGAGGAAAGAAUUUUCUCAGUGGCCUACAGAUGGCAGGCCGAUAUAACAGAUGAGUGAUGUCCUUGAAGCCUGUUUCCCUGAAUAUUAGAAACAUAGUACACCCUAUUUAUGCAGGUUUUCACGGAGAAAGAAGUUUUAACUGGGUCACUCUAAAAUGCAACCACUUUUGCACUACUUCAGAAUAUGUUCAAAGUCUUUUGCUUUGUGCUGUAAGCGGUGUUCAAAAUUCAGCCCAAAAGCUCUCAACUAGAAUUGUUUUAAGUGUUAUGAACUUACCUAAAGAUUUUGAUAAUUGACUCCAAGUUCUCAAAAAUUAGUGUGUACAGGAGGAUACUUGGGUUUACUUGUAUGUAGUUCAUGUCUUCAAAUUACUCCACUUUCUUAAAGAAUGUUGCAAUUGAUUUUGCUGACACCUUGUAUGUUUUUGCAUAAAUCUGGAUUAGCUUUUUUUUUCUGUAGAAGACACCAACAGAUAAAACUUAUGGUUGACUUUUUUGACUCAUUUAAUAUAAAAUAAAAAUUCCUUCAGAAGAUUUUGGUCUGGAAGAGAGGAGGAACCAUAGACACAGUAAAGCUUUUGUUUCUCUUCCUCUUGAGCACUGAGCUUUAGUGUAUGAUUUGAUACUCUCCUGUAUCUUUAGCUCAUAAAAGCACUAAUUCCAGAAGGGAAAACAAAAUAGCAGUCAGCCUUUUCCUUCACUUGGAGAAAAAGAAGUUAUUUAGAGGGUUAAAAAAUGAGAAAAUGUGGCUUCUACUAGUCUUCUUGUUCAAUGAAUAUCUAACAGAAAAGACAUCUUAAACACUGUAAUCUUUCAAGUGUUUUGUAUUUGCUAUAUAAAACAUUAUUAAAAAGGAGUUGGAAAAAGAAAGCUGUUGCAGGUCAUACCCUUUCCAUAUUGUUUGUAAAAUGGCUAAUGGUUAGAAAAUCAAACUUGCUAUACUUCACUCUGUUUGUCUUCUUUUUUUUAUGACUGUAGAUUGAAAUAGGCAUAUUUAAAAUAUUGUGAAGUAUGGAAGUGAUUACAACCUGCCGCUUAAGGCACGACUCAGGAAAUUGAAGAACAGGGGCUUAAAAGUAGUCCCCAAACAAUGGGCUUAACAGAAUUUCACAAGAAACGCUUCGACAACUUUUUUUUAAACCAGAAAAUACUCGGUUUCAACUGAGGGACUGGAAAAUAUGUUGCUAUAUUCUUGAACUGUUUUCUAUUAUGGAAAUCAAACAAGCUUUCGUGACGGAUUACUCUUCAGGCAAGGAGAAAGGAAUGCUUGUGGAGGCCGCACACAGGUCUGUGCUCUGUGCCCUGCCCUGCUGCUGUAGCUAAGCCUGUCUGAACUGUCUUCUAAUCCACAAGCAUAAUUCUGGCUAUUAAAAUAUCCAGUAUUUUAACUCCUCAAUCUAAUUCAUUUGUGCAAUAUAUAUUUAAUAUAUGAAGUGGCAAGAGAAUUGUUUUUUUCUGAGCUGCCAUUGUGUUGUGAAACCACAGCAGCGUGGAAUCAUGGUCU